rnacentral:rRNA from 1 species
UUAGGACGAUUCAUAAUAAAUUCACGAACCGGAGUGAUUUUUAAUCGCCGGUGAAUCAUUCAAAUUUCUGCCCUAUCAACUUGUUUGUAGUAUAGAGGACUACAAAGGUUAUAACGGGUAACGGAGGAUUAGGGUUUGAUUCCGGAGAGGGAGCCUGAGAAACGGCUACCACAUCCAAGGAAGGCAGCAGGCGCGCAGAUUACCCAAUCUCAAUUCGAGGAGGUAGUGACGAAAAAUAGCAAAGCUUGAACUUUGUUCUAGCUAUUGAAAUGAGUACGACUUAAACGAUCUAACGAUAAACUAUUGGAGGGCAAGUCUGGUGCCAGCAGCCGCGGUAAUUCCAGCUCCAAUAGCGUAUCUUCAUGUUGCUGCAGCUAAAACGCUCGUAGUCAAACCUUAGGGCAUUGAUUUUUGGUCGUUUCUUAUGAAAUUGUACUUUAGAUCGUGCCCUCAGUUCCAACUUGUUUUGGUUCUUUAUUGAGCCUUUGCGAUUUGGAAACGUUACUUUGAGAAAAUUAGAGUGUUCAAAGCAGGCUUUACGCCUUGAAUAAAUUAGCAUGGCAUAAUAAAAUAGGACUUGGUUUCUAUUUUGUUGGUUUCUAGGAAUUAAGUAAUGAUUAAUAGGGGCGGUCGGGGGCGUUAAUAUUAAGCUGUCAGAGGUGAAAUUCUUGGAUUUGCUUAAGAUUAACUACUGCGAAAGCAUUCGCCAAGGACGCUUUCAUUGAUCAAGAACGAAAGUUUGGGGAUCGAAGAGGAUUAGAGACCCUCGUAGUCCAGACUGUAAAUGAUGCCAACUAGAGAUUGGUGGGUGUUUUUUGACCCCAUCAGCAUCUUCCGAGAAAUCAAAGUUUUUGGGUUCUGGGAGUAUGGUCGCAAGACUUAAACUUAAAGAAAUUGACGGAAGGGCACCACCAGGUGUGGAGCCUGCGGCUUAAUUUGACCCAACACGGGAAAACUUACCAGGUCCAGACAUAGCAAGGAUUGACAGAUUGAGAGCUCUUUCUUGAUUCUAUGGGUGGUGGUGCAUGGCCGUUCUUAGUUGGUGGAGUGAUUUGUCUGCUUGAUUGCGAUAACGAACGAGACCUUAACCUGCUAAAUAGUGUGUUGGCACCUAGGUGCCAAUGCUCACUUCUUAACGGGACUGUGAAAGAAAAUUUCACGGAAGCAUGAGGCAAUAACAGGUCUGUGAUGCCCUUCGAUGUUCUGGGCCGCACGCGCGCUACACUGACACAGUCAACGAGUUUGUCCUUGGUCGAAAGGCUUGGGUAAUCUUUUCAAACUGUGUCGUGCUGGGGCUUGACAAUUGCAAUUAUUUGUCAUAAACGAGGAAUACCUAGUAAGCGCGAGUCAUCAGCUCGCGUUGAUUACGUCCCUGCCCUUUGUACACACCGCCCGUCGCUCCUACCGAUUGGAUGAUCCGGUGAAAUCUCCGGACUGUUGAGUAGAUGUCAUUUCGGUGACGACUACACAGCGGGAAGCUGAUUAAACCUUAUCAUCUAGAGGAAGGAAAAGUCGUAACAAGGUU